rnacentral:rRNA from 1 species
CCCUUAGAUGUUCUGGGCCGCACGCGCGCUACACUGAUGCAUUCAACGAGUCUAAAACCUGGUCUGAUAGGGCUGGGUAAUCUUUUGAAUGUGCAUCGUGAUUGGGAUAGAUGAUUGCAAUUCUUCAUCUUCAACGAGGAAUGCCUAGUAAACGGAAGUCAUCAGCUUGCAUUGAUUACGUCCCUGCCCUUUGUACACACCGCCCGUCGCUCCUACCGAUUGAAUGUUCCGAUGAAUACCAUGGACUGAGAGUAUGAAUGGGUUCGCCUAUUUCUGCUUCUCGGGAAGUGGAGUAAAUCUUAACAUUUAGAGGAAGGAGAAGUCGUAACA